GGGUGCGAUCAUACCAGCACUAAAGCACCGGAUCCCAUCAGAACUCCGAAGUUAAGCGUGCUUGGGCGAGAGUAGUACUAGGAUGGGUGACCUCCUGGGAAGUCCUCGUGUUGCACCCCU
rnacentral:rRNA from 2 species